CUUUUGAAGUUGUUGUUUUUUUAUCGUAUCUGUCGGAUUAAUUGCAUAUUCUUCUGUGAAAUGUCUAAUUUUUGUUCUUGUGUUUCAUCCUGUAUGAAGAGUAGGAUACCAUUCGACCUCUCAUUACUGAUUUCUGGGUUUCUCACAGCAGAGAUUGGGAUAUGGAAUUUCCCCAAAAAUCGGAACCAUUCUUUCCUCACAAAUGAAACAAAGUUCAGAACUUUCGGUGGAGGUACCAGAUGUGACUCAAUUUCUAGGUUGGUGUGUGGUCACUGAUGAUGAUUGGAUGUAUUUUGGAGGUGAUGCUGUAGGACUCCAAUCCUGUAGGUGGCGGCGAUGUAAUGUGCAUCCUGCUGCCUUUCGCCGUUGCGCCACCGUCUGGUGCAAUGCGAGCGGACCGUAACUAACGUUGCCUCCCCCGAUUCGUGCUUUGCAGAGGAAAACCAGAAGAGUGCUAGAAAACUACUCACACUGUUGUCAUCCACCAUUGUUACUUUGGUCUUCUCAUAACACAUACAGACAAGCAUACGCCAAACACCCAUUUUAAAUGAAGAUUGUCAUUGUUGUGCAGGUGUGAACUUUAUUUUCGCAUAACUGUGCUUGAGACCCACUUGUGUUUUAAGGUAUUAUAUAUUUAAUUUUUUUUUUUUUAAAUAUUUAAAAAAUUGGAAUGAGGUGGGAGUCACAGCUUCCAAAACCACCACAUUCAGAAGCAUCUGGGAGAUGGGCGGCAACUGUCAGGUUCCUCGGUUGAAGCCACUUCUGAGCCUGAGCCAACGUAGGAAGCGUCUCAACUGGGCCAAAGAGAAG